AACGAGUGCAUUAACGAGAAUGAUGAGAACACACAAAAUCCAAUAUUUGUAAAGUUCGAUCGACUAUCGGAUUCGAUCGAGUGGAAGGCGUCGACCACGAGGAUAUCAAGUAUCGAUGACGACCAUAAAAAAAAUCAGCACUGUCACUGAAUGAUUGAAUGACAACUUCGCAUCGUUCUUGUCCCAUUCCUGACGAGCAAAAGGCUCUGUUCCAAUGCUCGUCGGCCACUUCCGACGUCUACUUUCUUGAAGAACUCCGACACCUAUAACAGAAUGUCAAAUAUUCUUGUUAUCGUUUAACCCUUUCACUAUUGUAGUCACUCGCCACGAAACAAUCUAUGGGCAACUAUGUAUAGUCCUUCGAUUAGGGAUGUGCGGCCUAGAUGUGUGCGAGUACUCGAUUUAUUCGAGUACUCGAAUUUCGAGCCGAACAAUGAUCGAUUGUUCGAGCCG